rnacentral:rRNA from 1 species
UACGGAGGGUGCAAGCGUUGUUCGGAAUCACUGGGCGUAAAGCGCGUGUAGGCGGUCUCCUAAGUCUGAUGUGAAAGCCCGGGGCUUACCCCCGGAAGUGCAUUGGAAACUGGGAGACUGGAGUACCGGAGAGGAAGGUGGAAUUCCUGGUGUAGCGGUGAAAUGCGUAGAUAUCAGGAGGAACACCGGUGGCGAAGGCGGCCUUCUGGACGGAUACUGACGCUGAGACGCGAAAGCGUGGGGAGCAAACAGG